AGUGAACGCUGGCGGUAGGCCUAACACAUGCAAGUCGAACGGCAGCACAGUAAGAGCUUGCUCUUACGGGUGGCGAGUGGCGGACGGGUGAGGAAUACAUCGGAAUCUACUUUUUCGUGGGGGAUAACGUAGGGAAACUUACGCUAAUACCGCAUACGACCUACGGGUGAAAGCAGGGGAACUUCGGACCUUGCGCGGUUGAAUGAGCCGAUGUCGGAUUAGCUAGUUGGCGGGGUAAAGGCCCACCAAGGCGACGAUCCGUAGCUGGUCUGAGAGGAUGGUCAGCCACACUGGAACUGAGACACGGUCCAGACUCCUACGGGAGGCAGCAGUGGGGAAUAUUGGACAAUGGUCGCAAGCCUGAUCCAGCCAUACCGCGUGGGUUAAGAAGGCCUUCGGGUUGUAAAGCCCUUUUGUUGGGAAAGAAAAGCAGCAGGUUAAUACCCCGCUGUUCUGACGGUACCCAAAGAAUAAGCACCGGCUAACUUCGUG
rnacentral:rRNA from 1 species